rnacentral:rRNA from 1 species
AACGAACGCUGGCGGCAUGCCUAAUACAUGCAAGUCGAACGAGAUCUUCGGAUCUAGUGGCGCACGGGUGCGUAACGCGUGGGAAUCUGCCCUUGGGUUCGGAAUAACAGCUGGAAACGGCUGCUAAUACCGGAUGAUGACGUAAGUCCAAAGAUUUAUCGCCCAAGGAUGAGCCCGCGUAGGAUUAGCUAGUUGGUGGGGUAAAGGCCUACCAAGGCGACGAUCCUUAGCUGGUCUGAGAGGAUGAUCAGCCACACUGGGACUGAGACACGGCCCAGACUCCUACGGGAGGCAGCAGUAGGGAAUAUUGGACAAUGGGGGCAACCCUGAUCCAGCAAUGCCGCGUGAGUGAUGAAGGCCUUAGGGUUGUAAAGCUCUUUUUCCCGAGAUGAUAAUGACAGUAUCGGGAGAAUAAGCUCCGGCUAACUCCGUGCCAGCCGCCGCGGUAAAAC